CUUGUACUCCCUCCGUCCGGAAAUACUUGUCCUAAAAAUGGAUAAAAUGGAUGUAUCUAUAACUAAAAUAAGUCUAGAUACAACCAUUUCUAGGACAAGUAUUUACGGACAGAGGGAGUAUGUC
rnacentral:pre_miRNA from 1 species